rnacentral:rRNA from 1 species
UACGAAGGGGGCUAGCGUUGCUCGGAAUCACUGGGCGUAAAGGGUGCGUAGGCGGGUCUUUAAGUCAGGGGUGAAAUCCUGGAGCUCAACUCCAGAACUGCCUUUGAUACUGUCUGUCUUGAGUCCGGGAGAGGUGAGUGGAAUUCCUAGUGUAGAGGUGAAAUUCGUAGAUAUUAGGAAGAACACCAGUGGCGAAGGCGGCUCACUGGCCCGGUACUGACGCUCAUGUGCGAAAGCGUGGGGAGCAAACAGG